rnacentral:rRNA from 1 species
UACAGAGGUCUCACGCGUUGUUCGGAUUCAUUGGGCGUAAAGGGUGCGUAGGCGGCGCGUUAAGUCGGGUGUGAAAUCUCGGAGCUUAACUCCGAAACUGCAUUCGAUACUGCCGUGCUUGAGGACUGGAGAGGAGACUGGAAUUUACGGUGUAGCGGUGAAAUGCGUAGAUAUCGUAAGGAAGACCAGUGGCGAAGGCGGGUCUCUGGACAGUUCCUGACGCUGAGGCACGAAGGUCAGGGGAGCAAACGGG